UUCUCUUCAAGUAUGGUUACAACCUCAGCUAACUUGGUUUUGCCAGAAAGAAGAAGCAGAGGGAGAGGCAUUCCAUGAUCAUGCCUUAUUACCAGUGAUGCAGGAGGAAUCAGAGAGGAUGCCUGGACCAGAAGCCAGCACCACCCUCAGGGCUUCACUGGAGGAGCUGUCACUGGGGCCAGUGCGGUUUCCCCUACUGCUGCAGGACCAGGAGAGGAUUCGUCCAACAGUGAAUCAGAGCAGGAGGGGCCCCAGAAGCUGGUCCAUAAAGUGUCCACCUCUGGACAGAUGGGGACCAAGCAUUGAUCUUCCCAGACUGAUAACUGCUGAAAUCCAG
rnacentral:lncRNA from 1 species